rnacentral:rRNA from 1 species
AUUGAACGCUGGCGGCAGGCCUAACACAUGCAAGUCGAGCGGGGUUUUCGGACCUAGCGGCGGACGGGUGAGUAAUGCGUAGGAAGCUACCCGAUAGAGGGGGAUACCAGUUGGAAACGACUGUUAAUACCGCAUAAUGUCUACGGACCAAAGUGUGGGACCUUCGGGCCACAUGCUAUCGGAUGUGCCUACGUGGGAUUAGCUAGUUGGUGAGGUAAUGGCUCACCAAGGCGACGAUCCCUAGCUGAUUUGAGAGGAUGAUCAGACACACUGGAACUGAGACACGGUCCAAACUCCUACGGGAGGCAGCAGUGGGGAAAAUUGGACAAUGGGCGCAAGCCUGAUCCAGCCAUGCCGCGUGUGGGAAGAAGGCCUUCGUGUUGUAAAGCACUUUCAGUAAGGAGGAAGCGUUUAGUGUUAAUAGUACUCAGCGUUGACGCUACUUACAGAAGAAGCACCGGCUAACUCUGUGCCAGCCGCCGCCGUAAAAC